UGGGGAAUAUUGGACAAUGGGCGCAAGCCUGAUCCAGCCAUGCCGCGUGAGUGACGAAGGCCUUAGGGUUGUAAAGCUCUUUCGGCGGGGAAGAUAAUGACGGUACCCGCAGAAGAAGCCCCGGCUAACUCUGUGCCAGCAGCCGCGGUAAUACAGAGGGGGCAAGCGUUGUUCGGAAUCACUGGGCGUAAAGCGCACGUAGGUGGAUAGUUAAGUUCGGGGUGAAAUCCCAGGGCUCAACCCUGGAACUGCCUCGGAUACUGGCUAUCUCGAGUCCGGAAGAGGUGAGUGGAAUUCCUAGUGUAGCGGUGAAAUGCGUAGAUAUCAAGAGGAACACCUGAGGUGAAGACGGGUUGCUGGGCUGACACUGACGCUGAGGCGCGAAAGCCAGGGGAGCAAACGGGAUUAGAUACCCCGGUAGUCCCUGAGCGGGCUGGCAAGGCGCAU
rnacentral:rRNA from 1 species